rnacentral:rRNA from 1 species
UACGUAGGGUGCAAGCGUUGUCCGGAAUUAUUGGGCGUAAAGAGCUCGUAGGCGGUCUGUUGCGUCGGCUGUGAAAACCCGGGGCUCAACCCCGAACUUGCAGUGGGUACGGGCAGACUAGAGUGUGGUAGGGGAGACUGGAAUUCCUGGUGUAGCGGUGAAAUGCGCAGAUAUCAGGAGGAACACCGAUGGCGAAGGCAGGUCUCUGGGCCAUAACUGACGCUGAGAAGCGAAAGCAUGGGGAGCGAACAGG